rnacentral:rRNA from 1 species
AUUGAACGCUGGCGGCAGGCCUAACACAUGCAAGUCGAGCGGAUGAAGGGAGCUUGCUCCUGGAUUCAGCGGCGGACGGGUGAGUAAUGCCUAGGAAUCUGCCUGGUAGUGGGGGAUAACGUCCGGAAACGGGCGCUAAUACCGCAUACGUCCUGAGGGAGAAAGUGGGGGAUCUUCGGACCUCACGCUAUCAGAUGAGCCUAGGUCGGAUUAGCUAGUUGGUGGGGUAAAGGCCUACCAAGGCGACGAUCCGUAACUGGUCUGAGAGGAUGAUCAGUCACACUGGAACUGAGACACGGUCCAGACUCCUACGGGAGGCAGCAGUGGGGAAUAUUGGACCAUGGGCGAAAGCCUGAUCCAGCCCUGCCGCGUGUGUGAAGAAGGUCUUCGGAUUGUAAAGAACUUUAAGUUGGGAGGAAGGGCAGUAAGUUAAUACCUUGCUGUUUUGACGUUACCAACAGAAUAAGCACCGGCUAACUUCGUG